rnacentral:rRNA from 1 species
CCGCCUGCCCUGUGACUAUAUGUUUAACGGCCGCGGUAUCUUAACCGUGCGAAGGUAGCGUAAUCACUUGUCUUUUAAAUGAAGACCUGUAUGAAUGGCAUCACGAGGGCUUAACUGUCUCCCCUCUCCAGUCAAUGAAAUUGACCUCCCCGUGCAGAGGCGGGGAUAUUUUUAUAAGACGAGAAGACCCUGUGGAGCUUUAGACCUAAAAUAAACCACGUUAAAUAUACUAAAAUAAUAGCAAAAACUUAGUGGCCCUUUAUUUAAGUGUCUUUGGUUGGGGCGACCGCGGAGUAAAACAUAACCUCCAUGUGGACGGGGAUACUAUCCCUAAAACUCAGAGCCUCCACUCUAAGCAACAGAAAUUCUGACCUUACUGAUCCGGUACAACCGAUUAACGAACCCAGUUACCCCAGGGAUAACAGCGCAAUCCCCUCUCAGAGCCCAUAUCGACGAGGGGGUUUACGACCUCGAUGUUGGAUCAGGACAUCCUAGUGGUGCAGCCGCUAUUG